rnacentral:rRNA from 1 species
UACGUAGGUGGCAAGCGUUGUCCGGAUUUAUUGGGCGUAAAGCGCGCGCAGGCGGUCCUUUAAGUCUGAUGUGAAAUCUUGCGGCUCAACCGCAAGCGGUCAUUGGAAACUGGGGGACUUGAGUACAGAAGAGGAAAGCGGAAUUCCACGUGUAGCGGUGAAAUGCGUAGAUAUCUGGAGGAACUCCGGUGGCGAAGGCGGCAUCCUGGACCAACACUGACGCUGAGUGAGCGAAAGCCAGGGGAGCAAACGGG